GACUGCUUGGCGUAAUGGUAGCGCGCGGUCCUCCUAUUAUAGUGGACGUGCUCCCUAUUAUAGACAGUGUUAGACUGAGGUUGCGGGUUCGAGUCCCGUGGUGGUCG